rnacentral:rRNA from 1 species
AUUGAACGCUGGCGGCAUGCCUUACACAUGCAAGUCGAACGGCAGCACGGGUGCUUGCACCUGGUGGCGAGUGGCGAACGGGUGAGUAAUACAUCGGAACGUACCUUAUCGUGGGGGAUAACGCAGCGAAAGUUGCGCUAAUACCGCAUACGCCCUGAGGGGGAAAGCGGGGGACCGUAAGGCCUCGCGCGAUUAGAGCGGCCGAUGUCUGAUUAGCUUGUUGGUGAGGUAAAAGCUCACCAAGGCGAUGAUCAGUAGCUGGUCUGAGCGGACGAUCAGCCACACUUGGACUGAGACACGGCCCAGACUCCUACGGGAGGCAGCAGUGGGGAAUUUUGGACAAUGGGGGCAACCCUGAUCCAGCAAUGCCGCGUGAGUGAAGAAGGCCUUCGGGUUGUAAAGCUCUUUUGUCAGGGAAGAAACAGCAGCUCUAACACAGUCUGCGAAUGACGGUACCUGAAGAAUAAGCACCGGCUAACUACGUGCCAGCAGCCGCCGUAA